UACAGAGGUCCCAAGCGUUGUUCGGAUUCAUUGGGCGUAAAGGGUGCGUAGGCGGCGCGGUAAGUCGGGUGUGAAAUCUCGGGGCUUAACUCCGAAACUGCAUUCGAUACUGCCGUGCUUGAGGACUGGAGAGGAGACUGGAAUUUACGGUGUAGCGGUGAAAUGCGUAGAUAUCGUAAGGAAGACCAGUGGCGAAGGCGGGUCUCUGGACAGUUCCUGACGCUGAGGCACGAAGGCCAGGGAGCAAACGGG
rnacentral:rRNA from 1 species